GCAAAAUUAUUGUUUAUUUAGUAAGUGUGUUUUAGAGUAAAACUGAAACCCAAGAUGAUUAUUUCAUAGAUUGUCCAUUUAACGACAUAAUUGACCCUAAGUGUUCAACCAUACUGAACUGCCUAGUUCCAACGAACAGAAACACCCUCAGAGUCCAAGGCAGUCCUUUAAAACAUGGAUGAAUUCUUUCUUAGGAAAGCUAAGAGUCCCAGUGAAACACUGUAUGUAUGGUGACUGAAGGAGCCACAUUUCAUCAACACUCUUCUGUGUUCUGUGUUUUAUUUACAGCUAGCAUUUCAGCUCGUGAAUACACAGAAUACUGUCCAAAUAUUACUCAGCUUCAUUCACUUUCUGUGGUAAAGUUAUCUACAGAAAACAAAGACCACGUCUCUUUUCUGUAGAGAGAAACAGAAUCUCUCUCCCAUUCUUGUUUUCUUAUACAUCGCUCCACAGAAUCAUAGUCUAUAAUCAUAAUCUAUUAUUAAGAACAGCAGCCUAGCGAGGUCAACCUUGU
rnacentral:lncRNA from 1 species